AUGCAUUUGCGCUCUUGGGAUUGGCUAUCCUCACCAAAGUUCCUAGGUGACAUGGUAUUUAGAGAUCUUCAACUCGUUAACAAGGCCAUGCUAGGUAGACAGGGAUGGCGACUUCUGACAGAACCAAAUUCCUUAUGUGUGAGAGUCCUCAAAGGCCGGUAUUUUCCCAACUCUGACUUUUGGCACGCAUCCUAUGCUAGAUCCACUUCUUAUACUUGGUGUAGCCUUAUGUUUGGAAAAAGGUUGUUGGAUCAAGGUAUUGUGUGGAAAAUUAGUAAUGAUAAAUCUAUCUGUAUUAGCCAUGACAAAUGGGUUCCUGAUGUAUUGUUGGGACGUGUUAGCCUGAUGUUGCCUAUGCCUGGACUACAAACUAUUGAUGCGCUCAUCGAUUCUGAUUCUCGACAUUGGGACCAUGACACAGUCAAUGCCUUUUUUGCACUAGAGGUGGCAGAGAAAAUACUGUAA
rnacentral:rRNA from 1 species